GGGGCUGUAGCUCAGUUGGGAGAGCGUCUGAAUGGCAUUCAGAAGGUCGUCGGUUCGAUCCCGAUCAGCUCCA
rnacentral:tRNA from 2 species